ACCGCUUCCUUAUCCUCUCGGUAUGCGCAUCGCCACCACCCUCGCUGCAGAGGCCGCCGCCCUCCCAGCGCGCCAUCACCGCCUCCUCUGCCUCUUCCCCUCCCUCAGCCCCGGCCCCUGCAUUGACUUGGCUCGGGCUGCGCCUCACUGCGCCUGCCAACUGUCACACGCUCUGAGGCUUUCAACAGCGGGGCGCCAGGGACAAACAAGCCGCGGCAAGCGCAAACAGCCUGCUCAAACAGGGACGGCCAGGGUGUUGUUUGACCAGCACUGGAAUUGGAAACUAGGUUUCGAAGAAGUCAAAUCGAAGUACAAUAUUGUAUUUUAAACUGCCUGUUGUUAUUACAUCCCUCACAACGCACGCUCUACUUGAAACUUCCAGUGGAUACCAACUGCACUUAGAAUAAAAAAUGAAACUCCUUGCCUAACUCUGGGACCUCAUCAGCACAUACUCACCAUAUUUUGGUAACAAAGGCCUUCAUGCUGUUCCCGGAAGUCGCCAAGUUCCAUCCAUCAUUGUUAAUAAUUCCUUUUGCUCGCUCCUCGCACAAGAACUGUUUCUUCUGCUUAGUGCUUUGCCUACUGAUUCCAUCUUGUCAUUUAAGUCUCGGCUCAAAUGUCACCUCUGCAAAGAACCCUUGUCUGACCAUACAUCUAAAAUAGCCACAAACACUCUAUAAAGACUUGGCCUUGCUUUAUUUCCUUCUCAGCACUCAUCACUGUCUGAAACAAUGUUUUGGAUUUGUUGCUUAUUAUCAGUCUCCCUUCUCAAGAAUGCAAGCUUUGUGAGGGCAGAGUCGUAAUCUUUUUUAAGGCUGUAUCCCCAAUGCCUGGAUUAUCAACUUCAGGCAAUGGACCACGCACCAGGAUUCCACCUCUUUCUAGCACCUAUCAGUGUUGCGCACAUCAUAGGCCCUCAACAAACAGUGUCCUUGUCUGGCUUCAAUAUCAGGGUAAUGCUGGCCUCAUAAAAACAGUUUGAAGCAGGCAGCCACGCUGGGGGAUCCCACAUGGUAAAGAACUGCAGGUGGCCUCUAGGAGAUGAGGGCGGCCUCCAGUCAACAGCCAGCAAGAAACUGAAGUGCUCUGUCCUACAACCUUGUGUAACUGAAUUCUGCCAACAACCUGAGUGAGACUGAAAGUGGAUCCCUCUCCAGUCAUGCCUCAGGUGAGACUGUAUCCCUGGAUGACACCUUGAUUCAGCCUCAUGUGACCCUAAGGAGACGACCCAUAUAAACUGUGCCUGGACUCAAGGCCCUCAGAAACUGUGAGAUAAUAAACAUGUGUUAAGCUAUUGAAUUUGUGGCAGUUUGUCACAUGGAAAAGUAAUGCCUGCCCAGUAAAUUGCCC
ensembl:lncRNA novel transcript, antisense to LNPEP and ERAP2